AACCUUAUAUUGUAUAAUUAUAUAGAAUUAAUUUCAUAUAGGUCCCUACAAUAAUAGUAAAUUAUAAAUAUAUUUCUAUAAAGUUCAACUUUUAUAUACUGUCUCUAUAAAAAUUAUAAUAUUUUCAAAUAUGUCACUCUUGUUUGUUACUGUUAAAAAAUCGUUAGAGAAUCGUUUAUAUUUUCAAUUUUACCAUUACAAAUAUAUCUCUCUAAAAAUCAUAACAAUAUAAUAUAAGAGGGAUAAAAAUGUCAAAAACUAACUAAGAUUAACUAUUUAAUCUAUAAUUAACUAAAAUUUUCUAACGAAUUCUAACGGCAGGAAUAUAUUUGAAAAUAUUAAAACUUUUACACGAGCAAAAUUUCAUAAAAAUAUAUUUGUCAUUCAUUAUAUUUGGAAGGAUAUGUACGAAAUUAACCCAAUUAUACAUAUAAGAUGAAACAUUUUUAAUGGGCAACAAAAUAACACCGGGACAUAAUCUCCCUGAAUCGCUAUUCCCUGACACGAGCCUGUGCUAAUUAAUUAAUACGCUUCGUGAACCCAAAUACGAUUAAUUUAAUACCAU
rnacentral:lncRNA from 1 species